rnacentral:rRNA from 1 species
UAGGGAAUCUUGCGCAAUGGGCGAAAGCCUGACGCAGCCAUGCCGCGUGAAUGAUGAAGGUCUUAGGAUUGUAAAAUUCUUUCACCGGGGAAGAUAAUGACGGUACCCGGAGAAGAAGCCCCGGCUAACUUCGUGCCAGCAGCCGCGGUAAUACGAAGGGGGCUAGCGUUGCUCGGAAUUACUGGGCGUAAAGGGCGCGUAGGCGGAUACUUAAGUUAGAGGUGAAAGCCCAGGGCUCAACCCUGGAACAGCCUUUAAUACUGGGUAUCUUGAGUUCGGGAGAGGUGAGUGGAACUCCGAGUGUAGAGGUGAAAUUCGUAGAUAUUCGGAAGAACACCAGUGGCGAAGGCGACUCACUGGCCCGAUACUGACGCUGAGGCGCGAAAGCGUGGGGAGCAAACA